rnacentral:SRP_RNA from 1 species
AGCCUGGGUCCGUGCGACUUAGACGCCCGAACCGUGUCAGGACCGGAAGGUAGCAGCACUAAGGGAUGCUCUAGGUAGGCGCGCGAUUCCGGGUUUUU